rnacentral:sRNA from 1 species
ACCAGCGCAGGGAUCAUUACAGAGUUGCAAAAAUCCCUAAACCAUUUUGAACGUUACCUUCAAACCGUUGCUUCGGCGGGCGGCCCGGGUCCGCCCGGUGCCCCCUGGCCCCCUAGCGGGGCGCUCGCCGGAGGAAAACCCAACUCUUGAUUAUUAUGGCCUCUUUGAGUCUUCUGUACUGAAUAAGUCAAAACUUUCAACAACGGAUCUCUUGGUUCUGGCAUCGAUGAAAAACGCAGCGAAAUGCGAUAAGUAAUGGGAAUUGCAGAAUUCAGUGAAUCAUCGAAUCUUUGAACGCACAUUGCGCCCGCCAGUAUUCUGGCGGGCAUGCCUGUUCGAGCGUCAUUUCAACCAUCAAGCCCCGCGCUUGUGUUGGGGAACUGCGGCUGCCGCAGGCCCUGAAAACCAGUGGCGGGCUCGCUUUCACACCGGGCGUAGUAGAUUUUAUCUCGCUCAGGGCGUGCUGCGGGUUCGGGCCGUUAAAAAGCCUUUUUUACCCAAGGUUGACCUCGGAUCAGGUAGGAAUACCCG